rnacentral:rRNA from 1 species
CUGCGGAAGGAUCAUUACCGAGUGAGGGCCCUCUGGGUCCAACCUCCCACCCGUGUCUAUCGUACCUUGUUGCUUCGGCGGGCCCGCCGUUUCGACGGCCGCCGGGGAGGCCUUGCGCCCCCGGGCCCGCGCCCGCCGAAGACCCCAACAUGAACGCUGUUCUGAAAGUAUGCAGUCUGAGUUGAUUAUCGUAAUCAGUUAAAACUUUCAACAACGGAUCUCUUGGUUCCGGCAUCGAUGAAGAACGCAGCGAAAUGCGAUAAGUAAUGUGAAUUGCAGAAUUCAGUGAAUCAUCGAGUCUUUGAACGCACAUUGCGCCCCCUGGUAUUCCGGGGGGCAUGCCUGUCCGAGCGUCAUUGCUGCCCUCAAGCACGGCUUGUGUGUUGGGCCCCCGUCCCCCUCUCCCGGGGGACGGGCCCGAAAGGCAGCGGCGGCACCGCGUCCGGUCCUCGAGCGUAUGGGGCUUUGUCACCUGCUCUGUAGGCCCGGCCGGCGCCAGCCGACACCCAACUUUAUUUUUCUAAGGUUGACCUCGGAUCAGGUAGGGAUACCCGCUGAACUUAAGCAUAUCAAUAAGCCCGGAGGA